rnacentral:lncRNA from 1 species
ACACUCAAUAAUAAUUAAAUAAUAAUAGGACCUAGGGGAUCCUUCUCUAAUGGAAAAACCUUUCAUCAUCAACGUAUCUUCCUUUACAUCUACAGAUUUUACAUCACAAAUAUUAUUUAAACAUAUCUUUAGAGUUUGCGCAUAUAAACAAAGGAGAGUGAAUUAUAGCUCCUCUCAAAAUCAAUUUAUUAUGCUCCAAUCCGUGGACUCAUUCAAUUUCUCUAGAAUUUCUAACUGUCCACUAAUUUAAUCAA